rnacentral:rRNA from 1 species
UACGGAGGGUGCAAGCGUUAUCCGGAUUCACUGGGUUUAAAGGGUGCGUAGGCGGAUAGGUAAGUCCGUGGUGAAAUCCUGCAGCUUAACUGCAGAACUGCCAUGGAUACUAUUUACCUUGAAUUCUGUUGAGGUGGGCGGAAUACAUCAUGUAGCGGUGAAAUGCUUAGAUAUGAUGUAGAACACCAAUUGCGAAGGCAGCUCACUAAAACAGACAUUGACGCUGAGGCACGAAAAGCGUGGGGGAUCAAACAGG